UCAGAACAAGAAUCUAUUUUCUUUUCCCCGUCCGCGUCGCGAGGGCCGCGACGGGAGGGAACAACGCAGCGCCGCCUCCGGCGUCCACCCUGCUCCUCCGCCAUCCGCCCUCGGCCGCCACCCCUCGGCCCUGUGCAGCCGCCCCUCCGCCGUUCGACCUCCCGUCGAUCUGCAGCCGCUCGGCUUCCCCAUCGAUCUGCAGCUGCUAGACCUCCCCGUCGAUCUGCAGCCGCGCCUCCAGCUCGGUCGUCUGUACCUCGUCUUUCUCCUCGGCGCAUUGCUCGCAGAUCUUGGCCAGCACUCCAUUCUCCAAGAACCCCUCCUUGUUUAUCUGCUCGCCGGUUUUUCUUGGCCAAGUUAUUUUUGCUUUCAGAGAGCCGUUUAUCCAUCAAACGAUCAGUAUGGUCUCUAUCAGAGGACUAUGUUGACCUGCCAGAUGGGGAUGAAGACUACCCAAAUGAACCAGAAUCGAAUGAUGGGAACACCUUAAGAGACCAAAUUGCUCUUCAGAUGUGGGCUCAGUACAAUAAUUAGUUGAUGCUCAGGGUAGCAGACCUAGCUUUGGCCAUGGUGGCAGCAUUGCUCCAAGCCAUACCUAGCGGUGGGUGGUUCUCUGUCGGGGUGAAUAACGAUCCGGGGUGAAUAAUGAUCCAGGGUGAAUAAAGCGAUCUGAAGGCUGAAGUGCCAGCAAUCUCUGCAGUCUGAUGCUGCAAUCUAAGAUGGAGAGCAAGACUGGCGAUCCAGGGCGCUUCCGUGUUUAGCUGUUCUGUUCUUCUUUUUUAUGUUCUGUCAGCUUUUGUUUCUUUUGCUGUGAGCCUGUUUUCGAGGGAGUUGUUUACAGGAUGUGCUGCUUCUUAGUUCUGGUGGCUGCGGCCAAGUCUUGCUUGGCUUGCUUGUUUUGAACCUGCAUCCGAAAUAGCAGGUUUUCCUAUGCAUGGUAAUAAUUCUGCGA